AGCGGUGUCUUUUCUGUUCACUGCCCUGCCCUUGAACCUCGCCCAGUGCCUGGCAUAUGAUAUGAUAAACUCUUCACAAAAAAAACAUAUCUGUAAAUUAUGAAACCAUAAUGGGAGGUGCACUGCUAACCCACCACACAGCUUAAGAAGAAAGUUUGUGAGCGCCUACGUUAUCUCAUCCUCGUUGCUUCCCUGGAAAUAAAAAGCAUAC